GGAUAACCAUAAAGGGAAUUAAAAGUAAGCAGAUGAAACUGCAUCAAAUAUCGACAAGACUUAAAAACUAGUUUUUUCAACAUAACACGCUGAUAAUUUUCCAUUUUGCUGGUUCAUUUUGGGAGUGGAGUCUUCACAAAUUCCCACGUGGUCUUAUGAAAAGCCUCAUUAGAACUUCUCGACCCCGCUACUUCAUUGAUGGGAACCGCAUCGGUAAUUUCUUUCAAAUCAUCUUUCGUAAGCUUCAAUUUAAGAGAAUCAAUAUUGGAGUGAAGAUUCUUAAUUUUAGUCGUACCUACAAAUGUUAGAAGAUUGAAAGAUAAAUCAAUAAAUCAUCAUUAAAACCGCUGCAAUUCAUGAGAUCAAUGUAAUAUCCACAUUUCAGUCACCAUCCAUUGCAUUACAGCAUCCGCAAAUGAUAACAAUUUUCCAGAGAAAGGCCUACAUAAACUAGUUAUGAAAUAAUCUCACUUCACGAUCCAGAUUUUCAAAUCUUUCUAUCUAGGAAUAAAUGGCCAAUAACUAUAGGGCAUAUAUGCAUAAGAUGAAUCUUGCUAAUUGAUGCUGAAUUAACAAAAAGCUAGCACAAGCAGAUACAUUUUUUUUUCUCUCGUUCUAACCCUUUCCUCUCCCUGGAAGAACAGGGUAAAAAGAAAAGGAAUAUCAUUUUUUUUAUGACCGUGGGUGUUCAAACUAGCUUACGCGCUCCUCGACUAAUCCCACGGGACCCUGAAGUUUAUAGCCGGAUACUCACCUCAGUAGCUUUGAGGGGAUUCGAACGGGUGACUAUUGGGGAGCAAAACCAAGACCUAACCACUAACAUAAAUAGAAAUCUAUGAAGAAAUGUUGGUUUUCAAACCCAUCCCUAAUAAGUGAGGGUACCUGAAAUUCAAGAGGUGCUUAGUGCUUAGCCGUGACAAGUAGUGGUGGUUAUUGGUCUAUUCUAUCACAAAUAAGGGUUCAACUUCUUGUUCAGCAAAUAAUAUGUUUAGAGCAAAGUCUAGAGCACGCCAUUUACUACAAGCAGAUAAACAAAACAGAUCAUAAACUCAAUAGUCAUGAAUUAUGCUUAUAUUCUUCAGGAAAACAUGUUGCCUUACUCUUCACUUAGUCUUGCAUUGUUGAACACUUGUGGGUGAUAUCUGCAUUACAAACAUGAUUUUUGUUCGACUAAUCUAAUUUAGGUGCACUAGCUCUAGAAAUAAAUGUGGUAGCAAAAUUAACACUCCUCACACCUGUCAACAUAGUUGAUAGAGUGGGAUACUCGAGCCAUUGGUUGAGUUCAAUGUGAAGGAAAUAUUUAUCUUGGGAAGCCCAAUUUGCUCAGUUUGAAGGAUAGGAAACCUCAAGAAAUGAAUAGGAGUUGGAGAUCUUUCUCCCGGGGCGGAGCCAAGAUUUUAGUUUAGUGUGAGCAAAAUUUUUUCGACGUCGAAUGUCGAGGUUUUGGUCAUGGAUUUACUGACGAUAAAAAAAUAAAAUAAUAGUACGACAAUACUAAAAACGACAUAAUUUAUAUAUUACACUUGUUCCUUGCGAGUUUUCAUACUCUGUGCGAACCGGCACUGCGACGCCGCGAUAGGGACGAAUUCUCUCACUCGCGGACAAAGAGUUGGAUUGAUUCAAAUGAAUAAAAUGGGUUUGGAUCAAUUGAAUUUUGAGGGAAUGGGUUUAAUAGGACUUCUCUCUCUAGCUGGACAGGGAAGUGGGUUAAAAAAAUAAUAAUAAUAAUAAAUAAAUUCUGCCCAAAUGUCCAGUGACACGCUUUGGCUCCACCCAUUCUUUCUCCUCUCUGUGUGCCUGUUUAUGUUCAGUGGUGGUGGAGAGGCAUGAGUCUAAAAUAGAGACUUUCAAUCUUUUGAGAGAGAAGGAGCUUUAAUUUCCAAAUUCCUUUGCCCAAUACUUAAUGUAACUGAAUUGGCACUGAACUGAUUCAAAUAGGGAGGCCCAGUUAAUUAGUUCAAAUGGCUGUUUCGGCUUUGUCCAUGUCACAAUUCAGUUUCAGUUCCGUUCAUUACUAUAGUUGUAAGCUAAUUAAAACACCCAAAUGCAUGCAUCUCCAAGACGAUUUCUGUUUACAUACUUUUGAAUAUGAAUAUUCUUACACUCUCCUAGAGGAAAGAUAUGUUGUAAUAAGAAUAUAGAGUGAGGUCAGUGUCAAAGUUUUCUAAACAGAUAGUUCAAAUAUCUUUAAUACUCUAUAUUUCCAAUCUCUCAAACAUUGUUUCUACUACAGUACUUAAAGAAAAGCUUCUUAUAUGAUUGGCUUACCUGGAAUAGGAACAACAUCGUCUCCUUGAUGAAGAACCCAUGCAAGCGCUAGUUGAGCAGGAGUGCAUCCAUGCUUCUUAGCCAAUGCUUCUACACGAAAGUAUAAGACUUUAUUCUUAUCAAAGUUCUCUCCCUGAAGUCUUGGGUGAUCUGCCUGAAGGUACAAAAAUGACACUACUUCUCAGCAACUAGAGAUUAUAAAAGCGAAGAAACUACAAAUUGAUCUUUGAUACUAAAGAAGAUAUUACACAUUGAAAAUUUUAAAAGACAUAGAUGCGUACACACCAAUGAGUUAUUUUCCAUGCUUCCCACAACAGCCUUCCCAGCAAAAAACCCUCGACCUAAGGGACUGUAUGGAACUAUUCCAAUCCCAAGUUCUCUAUGAUCCAUUUCCGAAAAGAAAAAAAGAAACACUACAUGAGAUCAUAAUCUUUAAAUAUGAAGGAUGACAAUUAGAAAAAUAACCGACACAAGCUUGAAUUGUAGUAGUGGAAAGAAGAUUAAUCAGAGUAUUGAAGCAUUGAUAGAAAAGAGGGAAAAUACUUAUUGUAUUCUAAUUAAAAGCACAACGUUCAAAACACUAACUGAGACGGUAGUUUUAACCAUUAGUACUGCAAAUUAAAUUCAGGAAGAAAAAUACAAAAACAUGGAAGCAUUAAAAUAGAAUACAGGAGCUCAACAUUGUAAUGUUAAUCCUAGGAGAAAAACGACAUCAAAUAAUUAUGUUGUGCAAAAUUAAUUUCAAAUUCAAACAUCAGCUCUUAAGUUCCUAUUUAGAUAGCAAGUUGCAAAAAUGUUAGCUGAAUAUAAUAUUUUAUGAGUGUUACAACAAAAAUGGGUUGUAAUGCUUCUUUGACUGCAAUAUAUACAAUGUUCUAAUUCUUGAUGGAUGUAGGUUUUGAUAAUUAAGCAACCUUUUAUUUUGAAAGAAUAAUGCUAUUGGCAGUGAAAACUAUCAGCAAUCGUCCUAUGUAGCGUAUACUUAGCAAUUUUUUAUUUGAUGUAUAAUUCAAAAAAUAACUACCAUAUAUAUAUAUAUAUAUCAAAUACCAAAUUGUGAAGUGUAUGCCACAUAGAGCGACUAUUAACAGUCUUCACUACGAAUAGCAUUACUCUUAAAAAAUAUAUAUCUAUAUAUACAUUUCUAAAUAUUGAUUUGACAUCAUUUCAAUCACAAAUUUUUCAAUAAAAUAAUAUUACACAUAAAUUCAAAAAAUUUUCUCAUUUUUUAACCACACAUUCUCUACUAAUCUACUAUUUUAGAAUAUAUUCUUUCAAAAUAAUGUGGCACAAACACUUGAAAUUUACUAAAAAUCUGAUUUUGAUUCCUACCAAACAAGUAUUAAAUAAAUGUAAACAAUGCGUAAUUAGAACGGUUUUGAAGUAAGAAGGGUUCACCAACCUCGCAUAUGAUAUAUCGGGACUAAGCAAGCCCAUUAAUGACCUACAAAGAUCACUGAGGAGGAUCAACAUCGGACUAUUACAAAUGACGAGCUAAUUAUUGUGUCAAGAAGCCCUUGCAUCAUCAUUGCUAUCAAGGAUCAAUCACAAUUUUUGACAAGACAAGACAAAUUACGAUCAACUCGAUCAUGGACAAUUAUAGUCUUCUAAUGCUUUUCUCCACCAAUCAAAAGGUAUCUCGCCAUAUUAUUGACACAACUCCUGAUGCAAAUAUUGUAGCUAGGGUAUUUCAAAUAGCCUAUAAAAGGGAAGGAAGAGAGAAAUAUAUAGAUAAAGAGAGAGAAGAAGAAAUAGAAAGAGAUAUGUUGGAGGCCCAUAUUGGCAACCACAAAAAGGUUAGGUAAGGUGACAAACGGGCUGCGCAUUUCACGAAUUCAACACUUCAUGGCUUGGUUCAUGAACCGUUCGAGUUCGUAUUGAAAAAAGUCAUGAAUCAACACAAGCUCAAUUUUUUGAAUUCAUGGAUCAGCUCAUUUUUUGACUGACUUUAUUUAUUUCUUAAAAAUGCUCUACCUCAUGGGAACCAGCCCAAAAAACGGUGAUGUUGAUGUUUAGCUUGGAUGUGAUCUUAGCCAAAAGCCCCAAAAAAAAAAAAUAAUAAUAAUAAUAAUGUCGCAGAGAAUGUUGAGUGCGUGAAAGAAGUCGCAAUUUAAAAAAAUGAAAAUGACAAAUACAGAGACGAGGAGAGAUAAAUAAAAAGUAAAAAGGAAAAAAGGUAGAAAGAAAAGAAGAAUAUAGGUUAAGACUCAGGGAGAUGGAUGUGUGGCCUAAAAGGUAAAAGCCGACAGAGGUAACGCCAGAGAGAGCAGCUGCGACUGCUGUGCUGGUGAAUGAUUUGCGAUCAAGGUUGCUGAGCCAGGAUGAGUAAUUUUCCUCUUAAGUUGCGAUAUGAUACCAUGUUAAGAUUUACAUUUGCUAUAUGUAUUGACAAUAUUAAUAAUGUUACAUAAAUAGUCAUAAUACAGUUCAAAUCCAAAACAAGAACAAUUAUGCUACAUUAAUCUUCGUGUAAAAUAUACAGAGACUGUGACAAAGAGUCGCCUUAGCUGUCUAAAACUUUAUCACCAACAGGAAGCCACCGAUAUAAUUUCAUGUUUGUAUAAACUCGAAGAACCUGUCAGUGUUAAUUUUUCAUGCUUCUACUUAAUUUAGUACCAUUAGGCAUGUACCUACAAGCUACAUGGCAUCUCCAGUCUGACAGAAUGGUAAUACAUCUAGAAAACAAUUUGAUUAUCAAGACAAUCAUAGCAUUUUAUUAAAGAGCCCAAAAAAAAGAGGUUCAAUUAUUCAAUAGCCAUGCGAUUUAUUACUUGCCAUCUGCAUGCACACAAAGUAGUGGAAGUUGGAUAACCAUAAAGGGAAUUAAAAGUAAGCAGAUGAAACUGCAUCAAAUAUCGACAAGACUUAAAAACUAGUUUUUUCAACAUAACACGCUGAUAAUUUUCCAUUUUGCUGGUUCAUUUUGGGAGUGGAGUCUUCACAAAUUCCCACGUGGUCUUAUGAAAAGCCUCAUUAGAACUUCUCGACCCCGCUACUUCAUUGAUGGGAACCGCAUCGGUAAUUUCUUUCAAAUCAUCUUUCGUAAGCUUCAAUUUAAGAGAAUCAAUAUUGGAGUGAAGAUUCUUAAUUUUAGUCGUACCUACAA
rnacentral:lncRNA from 1 species